AUUCAAAUAGCUUAUAUUUAGAGUAUGACACUGAAGAUGUCAUGGAGAUUAAUUAAUCUUUGAAUA
rnacentral:tRNA from 14 species